rnacentral:rRNA from 1 species
AUGUCUUGGGAUGAUAUUUGUAACUUACAUAAAAAGGGUGAUCAUCCUUGGGUUGUUCUAGGAGAUUUUAGUGAAACUGUAUACUCAUCUCAAAAAGAGGGCGGUAAUGCGAGACCAAAUGAUAUGAUGAAGAAUUUCCAUGACUGUCUCAUGGAGUGUGGUCUGUAAGAUUUGGGUUUCGUUGGUGACCCUUUUACUUGGAAGAGAGGUGAUAUCACAGAAAGACUUGACCUAGAAUUUUGUCAUGUCGUGUGA